rnacentral:rRNA from 1 species
GACGAACGCUGGCGGCGUGCUUAACACAUGCAAGUCGAACGAUGAAGCCGGAGCUUGCUCUGGUGAAUUAGUGGCGAACGGGUGAGUAACACGUGAGUAACCUGCCCUUGACUCUGGGAUAACUGCGGGAAACUGUAGCUAAUACCGGAUACGACCCUCGGAGGCAUCUCCUGGGGGUGGAAAGAAUUUCGGUCAAGGAUGGACUCGCGGCCUAUCAGCUAGUUGGUGAGGUAAGGGCUCACCAAGGCGACGACGGGUAGCCGGCCUGAGAGGGUGACCGGCCACACUGGGACUGAGACACGGCCCAGACUCCUACGGGAGGCAGGAGUGGGGAAUAUUGCACAAUGGGCGCAAGCCUGAUGCAGCAACGCCGCGUGAGGGAUGACGGCCUUCGGGUUGUAAACCUCUUUUAGCAGGGAAGAAGCGAAAGUGACGGUACCUGCAGAAAAAGCACCGGCUAACUACGUGCCAGCCGCCGCGGUAA